GCCUUCGUGGUGUAUUGUUCAGCAUGCUGGGUGCGUAUUCCAGAGGUUCGUGGUUCAAGUCCCGGUGGAGGCG
rnacentral:tRNA from 1 species